GGGAGAUUAGAGUCGUACAGCUCCGCUCCGGCUGCGGGAGUUACGGACGAUGCUGCCCGGAUAUAAGGCCAGAUCUGGGGGUGGUUAGCGGCUCACUAGUCCGUCUAUCUCCCGGUGCUUCCUCCUUUUUAUUCAGCGGCACAUGCCAGGAAACUCCUCGGCAGGAAAAACGUGCAGCUUUCCCCGCUACGACCUUCCUCUGAACUCCUUCACCCCCGCUGACCACCACGCCGCAAACGGACCCAUAAAACGGCGAAAAGGAAAAACGGCGGAGGGGGGCUUGGAAAAAAAACAACACAAACAGAAAAAAAGACUUGGGAGGCGACUUGUUCUCCGUCCACCGGCGAAAAGACCGAAAUACCGUCUUUUUUUAACCCGCACGGUGCCGUGAAGUGAGAAAAGUCUCCACCACGCCGCCCGUUCCUCUCCUCAGAUUAGCUGCUGGGAAAACAGCUAGCUGGCUAAUCCAAAACAAACGGGCUCCCGGCGGCGGAGUUCCGCGUGAAAACACGCGCAAAGUCAGCGCGUCGCCUCCGAGAAGCGCAAAAAGCGACACGAAAGGACUUCAAGGACGGGUCAAGUGGUAAAAACUUGGAUUCCCGUCCCGUUUGGCGAGCUCUCUCCCCCAGGUUCCCCUCUUUCCGUCGCUCUUUCUGCGAGUCUCUCCACCAGUAAACAAGUCCUGCCAGUCACCUCAGCUGGGCCACACGUGGUCGGCGGGAAAACACGGAGCGAGCAGCCGCCAUCUCUCCACCGGGAACCGGAUCCGGACUGUCUGAGGCUCCGGAGCUCUUUUGUCAGGCUGGAGGCUUUAUCUCCGACACGACGCUGAACCUUCAGACCGUUCAUUCAGCUCCUCUACGUCACAUGUGCACUCUGAGGACAUUCAAGAUAAUAUUCAACACGUCUCUGACUAAUAUAUAUGAACUGUUGUGCUUCUGCUGAAUGGAUCUCCUCUGCUGGGUGGAUUUGAGCCUUGAACUCUGAUCAAUAGCUCUCCUUGGGUUCUACCAAUUUCUGUCCAUGUUCUUCGAUCCAUCAUCACCUGCAGCUGAAGGAGGAUCGAAGCUUCAACUCUCCAGCGUCGCUCAGACAGAAGUCAAAUGAGGUGAAGUGUUGCAGGGAAACAUCAAAGAGAAUCUCGAUGGAAAAAAAAUCCCUGGAUAUAGAAUUAAACUUUGAUUUGCUCUCAGCAGCAGCAGUUAGUGUUAAUCCUCAUGUUUGUCCUGCUGAUGUGCGGAAAUCCUGCAGAGGGUUUAAACCAAAACACGUCAGAGCUGCAGAAUAAAAACCCUUCGACUUCAGGUCAAAGCUCCUCUGAUGUUUAAUUCAGCUCCUCCUGUUGAGCUGCGGUGUGAGAUAAACAGGUAAACAGGUAAACAGGCAAACAGCUAAACAGGCAAACAGGUAACAGCUAAACAGGCAAACAGCUAAACAGGUAAACAGCUAAACAGGCAAACAGGCAAACAGCUAAACAGGUAAACAGCUAAACAGGCAAAAAGGUAAACAGGUAAACAGGCAAACAGGUAAACAAUUAAACAGCUAAACAGCUAAUAGGUAAAUAACUAAACAGACAAACAGCUAAACAGGCAACCAGGUAAACAGCUAAACAGGCAAACAGACAAACAGGUAAAUAACUAAACAGACAAACAGGUAAACAGCUAGACAGGCAAACAGGUGAAACUGAGGCCCAAACAGGUAAAUAAAGCAGCAGAGAAGAGACAGAAUGAAAAAUCAGGAAGAGCUGCAGCAGCGUUCAGGAAACCACAAAGAAGUUCUCAGUAACUGAAGCGGUUUAUAAAUAUUACAAAUACAAAUAUUCAUUUUUAUUUCCUACGGAGACGUUUAAAAUGCAGCAGAAACACAGAAAGAACAGAAUCAAUAUUCAGCUGCACAGAGCUGCAGUUCAUCUAAGAGGCUGCAUCUGAUCGAUCCGAUUGUUUGAAAAGAACAAAUGAAAAAAAAAUGUGAAGAUUUCAUGUCUUUUUGUGGUGAAUUUGUGUGUUUUUGUGGCGAAUUUGUGUGUUUUUGUCGUGAUUUUGCAUCUUUUUGUGGUGAUUUUGUGUGUCUUUGUGGUGAUUUGCAUCUUUUGUGGUGAUUUUGUGUCUUUUUUGGUAAUUAUUGCAUCUUUUGUGGUGAUUUUGUGUCUUUUUUGGUAAUUAUUGCAUCUUUUGUGGUGAAUUUGUGUGUUUUUGUGGCGAAUUUGUGUGUUUUUGUCGUGAUUUUGCAUCUUUUUGUGGUGAACUUGCCUGUUUUUGUGGUGAUGUUUGCAUCUUUUGUGGUGAUUUUGUGUCUUUUUUGGUAAUUAUUGCAUCUUUUGUGGUGAUUUUGUGUCUUUUUGGUAAUUAUUGCAUCUUUUGUGGUGAUUUUGUGUGUCUUUGUGGUGAUUUGCAUCUUUUGUGGUGAUUUUUGGACUUGGCUUCUACUUUGUGCAAGUUCUUCUCCUGAUAGACGGAUAUAAAAUGUGACCAAAGCCUAAUUCAGCUUUAAAUGAAUUAUUAAAGAACAUUCGUGGUUUGGGAUUAAAGGCUGCACUCUGUGAGACGAGGAUUUUGGCCGUAUUGUUGCUCUGUUAGACUCUGCAGUGAAUGUGGAAGCGUCUGAGGCCUUGACAUCCACCUCAGCGGACCAAACAUGAUGAAUGACGCCGGAGUUACCCUUGAAAGGAACCUUGGUUCUCAAACAUCCUCACAAGCAGCUCAAGGAUUCAGUCUUUUAUCAGCUCUCGUUUACGUCCGACAACAACGUCAGGAUUUUCACGUCAAGCUCAAAAGUCUGGUUGGUUUCCUGUCACUUCCUGUCUUUUGUUGCGCUGUCAUAGUGAUGUCAUAGAAUAAACAUGAUUAGUUCCUUU